rnacentral:rRNA from 1 species
UACGUAGGUGGCAAGCGUUGUCCGGAUUUACUAGGGCGUAAAGAGCGCGCAGGCGGUCGUGCAAGUCGCGUAGUGAAAGCCCCCGGCUCAACUGGGGAGGUCACGGCGAUACUGUUCGACUCGAAGGCAGGGAGAGGGAACGGAAUUCCCGGUGUAGUGGUGAAAUGCGCAGAUAUCAGGAAGAACACCCGUGGCUAAGGCGGUUCUCUAGUACGGUACUGACGCUGAGACGCGAAAGCGUGGGGAGCGAACAGG